rnacentral:rRNA from 1 species
AGAGUUUGAUCAUGGCUCAGAUUGAACGCUGGCGGCAGGCCUAACACAUGCAAGUCGAACGGUAACAGGAAGAAGCUUGCUUCUUUGCUGACGAGUGGCGGACGGGUGAGUAAUGUCUGGGAAACUGCCUGAUGGAGGGGGAUAACUACUGGAAACGGUAGCUAAUACCGCAUAACGUCGCAAGACCAAAGAGGGGGACCUUCGGGCCUCUUGCCAUCGGAUGUGCCCAGAUGGGAUUAGCUUGUUGGUGGGGUAACGGCUCACCAAGGCGACGAUCCCUAGCUGGUCUGAGAGGAUGACCAGCCACACUGGAACUGAGACACGGUCCAGACUCCUACGGGAGGCAGCAGUGGGGAAUAUUGCACAAUGGGCGCAAGCCUGAUGCAGCCAUGCCGCGUGUAUGAAGAAGGCCUUCGGGUUGUAAAGUACUUUCAGCGGGGAGGAAGGGAGUAAAGUUAAUACCUUUGCUCAUUGACGUUACCCGCAGAAGAAGCACCGGCUAACUCCGUGCCAGCAGCCGCGGUAAUACGGAGGGUGCAAGCGUUAAUCGGAAUUACUGGGCGUAAAGCGUACGCAGGCGGUUUGUUAAGUCAGAUGUGAAAUCCCCGGGCUCAACCUGGGAACUGCAUCUGAUACUGGCAAGCUUGAGUCUCGUAGAGGGGGGUAGAAUUCCAGGUGUAGCGGUGAAAUGCGUAGAGAUCUGGAGGAAUACCGGUGGCGAAGGCGGCCCCCUGGACGAAGACUGACGCUCAGGUGCGAAAGCGUGGGGAGCAAACAGGAUUAGAUACCCUGGUAGUCCACGCCGUAAACGAUGUCGACUUGGAGGUUGUGCCCUUGAGGCGUGGCUUCCGGAGCUAACGCGUUAAGUCGACCGCCUGGGGAGUACGGCCGCAAGGUUAAAACUCAAAUGAAUUGACGGGGGCCCGCACAAGCGGUGGAGCAUGUGGUUUAAUUCGAUGCAACGCGAAGAACCUUACCUGGUCUUGACAUCCACAGAACUUUCCAGAGAUGGAUUGGUGCCUUCGGGAACUGUGAGACAGGUGCUGCAUGGCUGUCGUCAGCUCGUGUUGUGAAAUGUUGGGUUAAGUCCCGCAACGAGCGCAACCCUUAUCCUUUGUUGCCAGCGGUCCGGCCGGGAACUCAAAGGAGACUGCCAGUGAUAAACUGGAGGAAGGUGGGGAUGACGUCAAGUCAUCAUGGCCCUUACGACCAGGGCUACACACGUGCUACAAUGGCGCAUACAAAGAGAAGCGACCUCGCGAGAGCAAGCGGACCUCAUAAAGUGCGUCGUAGUCCGGAUUGGAGUCUGCAACUCGACUCCAUGAAGUCGGAAUCGCUAGUAAUCGUGGAUCAGAAUGCCACGGUGAAUACGUUCCCGGGCCUUGUACACACCGCCCGUCACACCAUGGGAGUGGGUUGCAAAAGAAGUAGGUAGCUUAACCUUCGGGAGGGCGCUUACCACUUUGUGAUUCAUGACUGGGGUGAAGUCGUAACAAGGUAACCGUAGGGGAACCUGCGGUUG